rnacentral:rRNA from 1 species
AACGAACGCUGGCGGCAUGCCUAACACAUGCAAGUCGAACGAGACCUUCGGGUCUAGUGGCGCACGGGUGCGUAACGCGUGGGAACCUGCCCGUAGGUUCGGAAUAACUCCCCGAAAGGGGUGCUAAUACCGGAUAAUGUCUUCGGACCAAAGAUUUAUCGCCUUUGGAUGGGCCCGCGUUGGAUUAGCUAGUUGGUAGGGUAAAAGCCUACCAAGGCGACGAUCCAUAGCUGGUCUGAGAGGAUGAUCAGCCACACUGGGACUGAGACACGGCCCAGACUCCUACGGGAGGCAGCAGUGGGGAAUAUUGGACAAUGGGCGAAAGCCUGAUCCCGCUAUGCCGCGUGAGUGAUGAAGGCCUUAGGGUUGUAAAGCUCUUUUACCCGGGAUGAUAAUGACAGUACCGGGAGAAUAAGCUCCGGCUAACUCCGUG